UACGGAGGAUCCAAGCGUUAUCCGGAAUCAUUGGGUUUAAAGGGUCCGUAGGCGGUUUAAUAAGUCAGUGGUGAAAGCCCAUCGCUCAACGGUGGAACGGCCAUUGAUACUGUUAAGCUUGAAUUAUUAGGAAGUAACUAGAAUAUGUAGUGUAGCGGUGAAAUGCUUAGAGAUUACAUGGAAUACCAAUUGCGAAGGCAGGUUACUACUAAUGGAUUGACGCUGAUGGACGAAAGCGUGGGUAGCGAACAGG
rnacentral:rRNA from 1 species